rnacentral:rRNA from 1 species
GAGUUUGAUCAUGGCUCAGGAUGAACGCUAGCGGCAGGCUUAAUACAUGCAAGUCGAGGGGCAGCAGCUUUAUAGCAAUAUAGAGGCUGGCGACCGGCAAACGGGUGCGGAACACGUACACAACCUUCCUUGAAUAGGGGGAUAGCCCAUAGAAAUGUGGAUUAAUACCCCGUAAUAUAGCGGUGUGGCAUCACACUGUUAUUAUAGUUUCGGCGAUUCGAGAUGGGUGUGCGGCUGAUUAGGUAGUUGGCGGGGUAAAGGCCCACCAAGCCUUCGAUCAGUAGCUGAUGUGAGAGCAUGAUCAGCYACACGGGCACUGAGACWCGGGCCCGACUCCUACGGGAGGCAGCAGUAWGGAAUAUUGGUCAAUGGAMGCAAGUCUGAACCARCUAUGCYGCGUGAAGGAUGAASGUCCUCU